GAGAUUUGGCAAUUAUUAAAGGCUGCGGCUCUUUUCCGCCGGGUUUCCCUGGUUUAGCGUCUUUCUGAGGGACCGCCAUGUUUCACAUUCGCCCAGCUUCUUCGGGUGAGCAGAUGUUUCUGCGCUUUCUGAGCUGACUGCCACCUACCACCUCACCAGAGCGGUGUCGUUGAAUCUCAAGCGGCUUGCUUCAGGGAUGCAUCUCCACUUUGGGACCUAAAAAACGCAUCCAACUGGGACUUUUGUCUAAGGAUUAAUUAAUGUCCAGGAUUGGCUUUGCUUUCAGGUUGACAUUUGCUUUCUCCAGUCUGCCCCAUCUUGCCUUCCUGCCCCCAGUGUGCUCUUUUACUUAAUAUACCUAUUUGGCCUCAUAGGAGAAGGAAUGUUGCGCUGCGCUUGUGAGAAGCAUUGAAAUGCCUGUCACACAGAGUCAGCCAUUAACGCGAGAGAGAAGCUCCCUUGUGUUAACUUGUCAGCCACUGCCGUGAAACGUAAUGCUGUACAAGGGGGCCAUGGACCCUUCAGCCCCUGAAUAAAUGAAAAAGGCAUAUGUUGCAAAGCGCACACGGACUGUAUGUGCAGUCACAGAAAAUUCAUUGCAAUUUUGUUAAAGAAAACAAAAACAAUAAUGUAAAUGCUUUAUUCUUGUCUAAAGCAAUAGAUAAACAACAAUAAUAACAAAAAUUAAAUGUACACAGUUUUCCUCUUAUGCUAAAUGUAGCCCAUCAGCCAAGACAUGUUGGUGUCCAAAUUUCAUUUCUUUAGUUUUAUCCUGGAGGCUAAGGUAACUGACAAGUAAUGGAAGCUUAUAGCCACCAAUUAGUAUCAUACAAAUUGGCCAUCAAAGUCAGAUUCUCAAAUCAAAAUGAGUAUAAAUAGACUUGCUGAUUCCUUUUCACACACUGUAUGGUAUACAGUAAGGUUCCCGUGCCUUAUUGCAGUGCUGACACUAUCUGCACAUAUUUACAGUGGGGCCCAAAAA